GCACGUUCCAUUCACCGCACGUGUACAACAAAAAGUGACGACCAAGUUGAGCGUUCAACCGUCAACCCUCCCUGAACCUUUUCUUGGCUUGGCCAGCUAGAAUGCUCCUUGCUCUAUGGUGUAACUACAACGCUGCGCACAUCGAGGGUUGCAUUGACCGCAUGUCACUCUCCAUUGGCGUUGUCUUGUUUAGCCUUUCAGAUAUUAUGAUUUUUUGCUGUAGGUCUAUGUGAGUGACCAUGGAGCUAUAAAACUGGGAGUGGAAGCAGCCUUCCCAUGACCACGGAGCUAGACAUAUCGUGGAGUUAAAAACUGAAAUGUUGGGAGGGAGAAAAACCAGGCCAAGCGGGCUCAAGACGUAACAAGUACAAAAAAAAUCUACAGAAGAGGGAAGUGAAUACAUAUACACGCAUGGAGGAAGGAACUCCUCCAUGGCAUAGAUUCAACAGUGGAAGCUUCCAGGAGACGUGAAGACUAUAGACUUCUCUCAAGAGUGGCAACCUUGAUAAAACGAUUUUCCCGCAGGAGAGUACGUGGUGUGUCAGUUAAUUUCCAGACAGUUGUGUAAUUAAAAAACAUGCUCCUACGAUCAUGGCAGGUGGUUACACUCUUGACCCCGCCCUACAAAAAAGUAACUGUGCGCAGGUACAUUGGUUUGCUCUUGCUCUGUGACCAUUAACAACAUCGGAGGUUGUGGGAUCCAUCAAGAGCCCCAGUCACCCCCACCCCCCCCGGGGGCCCGGGCAGGCAGUCCAGCCAGCCAGCCAACGGAUAGCUCCGGAUGGAGCCUGUCAAUUUGUCAUGAAUUUCACAAGGAACAAAUCAUCUACCACAGGGGUCAAGUAUAGAUGUUUUCAAACAUGUACGUUUUUCUUUUUCAACUUCCCGUUCCUUUUGGUAUAAUUUUAGUUUAUGGUAUACUUCCCUCUUUUGUAAUGUGUAUUAAUGGUGUACUUCGCCAGUUUUCUGUCUGAAGUGUCCCUAUAUUAUUGAGUCUUUGCAUGUUACAAUUUUCCACCUAUCUUUGUCCCAAAUUUUGCUGUUGUGAAGUUUUGUAUUUUUUUCUCUCUAGGCCUAUAUUGUCUUAUUUUUUCUCUAGUUUUAAUUUAUGAUUCUUCUUAGGUAGGCCGCCCAUGAUUCUUCUAAGAAUUUUUACUUUGUAAAGCGCAUUUGAACAAGUAAUGAAUGGGCUCAAAUGAACAGAUUACAGAUACCCUUGCUUACUGUAUCUACCAAGAAGAACCUCUUAUAUUACAACCGGAAGAGUACCAUCGUAAGUCAAUGAUUCAAGUCUCAACACAGGUGGAAGUUUAGCCUUUGAUCAAGGCGCCCGCGGCGAAAUGGAUAGUCAAGACCACACGACGAACCUCAUGCAAGCUCGAAAUUCACCAUGCAUACGCAUUCAGGAGCCGAGCUGUGUGUCGUGGACUGUGCGUUGUUUGGCGCUUAAAGUAAUCUCCUCCAACUCCUCGCUCUUGAGCAACUAUCCAUUUCGCCGCGGGCGCCUUGAUCAAAGGCUAGUGGAAGUUAAGCGGGGCGGUAGACCUCCGCCAAAUGCAUCUGAUAGCGUUUUAUGGCUGUAAUUAGUCACGUUUAUCCAACUCACAAGAGAAUCAGUAAGUCUCAAUUAGGCCCAUGUUAAUAUAAUGGUUAACUGCAAGUUGUCUAGUAUAACUGAAGCAGUGCGUCUUUUUCAAAUCAGUGCACGCUGUGGUUUGGCAGGCCUGUGGGGUCGUCCAUAAAGUACAUGUAUACGCACGACAUCAUGCCGACUUUUCAAACCUCCCCUUCCCCUGUACGCAUGGCGUACAAAGUGUCUCCACCCCCUCUUUCGUUUUGACUUCUCAGGGUACCUUGCUUUAGCAUCAUUAAAUGUCGCAGUACAUUAUACUAUAGUACUGUUAUUCGCACACUGAUCGCUUCCAAAUUCUGAAAUAAAUGACUAAAGUAAGUAUCAUCAGUCGUCGACUUUCAUUCAACCGUGCACGGGGAACAUUAGAGGCUUGUACAGUUUUAGCUACAAUGUACAUUUUUGUAUAUUUCCGAACAGGUGAGGGCACCCACACGUUUCCGGAACACGCUGCCGGUCUUUGUGUCAUGAGUAAUGCUGUUUUACGCAGAAAUAAACGGUGGGGUGGACGGUGGCGGAUACUGUGUUUGAAUGGUUUUUCUGGUAUUUAUUUGUAUGAGAUACGAGUAUGGAUACGAUGAAGAUUUAUUAAAGGCAGAUUUUCGGUUUGCGUGUGGUACGUACGUGC
rnacentral:lncRNA from 1 species